GUGAAUCAUCAAAUCUUUGAACGCAUAUUGCACUCUCUGGUAUUCCGGAGAGUAUGCCUGUUUGAGGGUCAGUUAAAUUAAAAUCGGUGUUGUUGCUACCCGUAGUGGUGUGUGAUGCAUCGGAAUUGAGUCGUUCCUUACCUUUGGUUUUAAGUGACUUAAAAUUAUGUACGAUUUCUGAACGUAUUUAAAUUAUUUACUUACGCUCAUGAUAUCAUAUAUUAGGUGCGGUCAUUCCUAUGAUUCCGCGCCUAUAAUUUUUUCAUUAUUUGACCUCAAAUCAGGUAAGAGUACCCGCUGA
rnacentral:misc_RNA from 1 species